CAGGGAGAUGCUGCAGGUCAUCACAGAGCUCUGAGCUGUCCUGCCCAGAGCUCCCAAGCCUGCGAAGACCAGCAUCUCCCAGCUCCAGAGAUCGUGGCAACCGUGCGCCUCCGUACGGCGGAGUGGUGUCGCAGAUGAGUAUCUGACUAGAGGAGAGGAAGUGGCUCAGAAGAAAGAAGAGUCAGAGCAACAGGCGACUCCCCGGGCAGCCGCGGGACACGGGAGUGAGCCCCGGCCCCGAGCCCGGCCCCAGCAGGGAGUGCGGAGGCUCUCGGCCCAGGGUGCUGACGGCUCCUUCUGCCCCGGGGUUAAUGGAUCCUUACACACCGCGGUGGACCUUACCAGUGCUCACCACCGGUCCUGAGUCGAGUUCACAUCCCUCAAAGCUAGAUGUGUUCCUGCAACUUGCCUUGGCCACUGAGCUGUGAAUGGAGUGAUGUGCACCCCCUCGGGGAGAGCGCUUUGCAGCCGCCCUGUGACUCGCCGUGUUUUCUUUCCCCACCCCUGAGAUCCCUGAACCUGAUGUUGAGGGGGUGGCCCUGAAGACUCUGCCACCGUGGGUCCCAGAGGGCCUGUGACCUGCAGAGCCCCCCGCCCUCCCCGGAGCCUGCAGUGUGUGGGAGAAGGAAGGCUGUGCUCUGCGCACUGAGAUUCUGAAGUUUGUCACAGAGGCAAACCUGCCUGUCCUGAUGGCAUCACACACCUAAAGGACAGGCGCCGACACACGCACUGAUGCCGUGGCCACCACAGCCCGUGAGCCUCAUUUAUGCUGUGGGAACUGAAGCCCGGAAAGGCCAGGCUUCAGAGCUCAGAUUCAAAAGCUGAUUCCAAAACGGAUUCGCCUGCUUCCAGAGUGGAUUCCCUCUCCACUGUGUUUGAUGCCUCCUGUGCUGGGAGAUGCUCAGCUUCUAUGGUUCUCCAGACCCCACGGGGCUCAGAGCCCUUGUUCUGGGACCAUGGCCUACAGUUUAAUUGGUUGUGGUCUGUGGCCUCAUGGGCGUUAUGAUAUAAUGAGGGAAUCAGAGAGACAAGUAAACAUAUUUUCACUCUAAAAAGUAGAUUAAGGAGCAGGCAUAGCGUGAACACGUGGCAGAGCAGUGCAGUGUGGCUGAGUGGGACCAGGGAGGCCGGGGGUGCCGCAGGGGUGUGCGGGCCUCGCAGCCUCGCUGCCACGGGGUGAUGUCAGAUUGCACAGGGCGCUAAAGACUUGGUCCCAGGCCUGGCUCGCAGCCUUGGUGAGUCACCUUUCUGGGCCGACCGCCCAGAUGUGGAAUAAGCAUCUUGGAUUUCAACCCUGCUUGCACACGAGCAUCUCUCCUGGGAGCUUUAAAAAGACAAAUAUCCAGCCACCCUCAAAGAUAAUGAUUCAGGGAACCAGGGCCUGCAACACAGGCCUCCAAAGACCUCCAAGACUUUUAAAAGGAAGGUGAUGAUGCACGGACAGCCCUGGAUUUCAGCGCCCUCCCAGCUCUGCUGGGGUCUGUUUUGGUCCAGGGUGUUUAGCCAUUUCCAGGGUCCACCACAGAGCUCUGGCACGAGGUGUCUCAGGCCUCUGCUGAAUUCUAGCAGCCGUUCAGAGUCAGAGGCUCCGGAUGGGCCAUGGGAUUCCGAGGGCCCCCAAACCCACUUCUCAAUCGACGCCAUGGGGUAUAAGGCCUCCCUCUCUGGGUCCAAAGAGUAGUGAGGUGGGGAAGGUUUGUGAGCAGAAGCCUUCCUGGAGACAUUGCCUAAACUUACACAGAGGCAGGGCGUCUAGGUCACAGAGGCUUCAGGGUGCAGAGGACCCCCGUGCUCCUGCCCCGGCCUUGCUCCCACUCACAUCCAUCCUCCAGGCAGCUCUCUCCUGGCCUCUGCAGCACUAGCCCGUCCACCUCUCGCUCGGGCUCUGCUCCAGGACCUCCGGCCUUUGCACUGUCCUCCUGGCACUGUGGUGUUAGCUGUGGGCUUGCUUGGAGAAACCGCAGCAAUGGCAGAGAGGCAGCAAGGAAGACCUCCCGCUUCCCCAGCCUCCUGGCAGAGUUCCUGGUGGCCUCCAGGCUGGUGCCACAGCCGGGCUUCAGGAACUUGCUGUCCCCAGUGCCAGACUCCACAGCAGAGGGCAGGGCACAUGGCUGCUUUCGUGUAUGAGCCCCUUCCACUCCUAGGAGCCUAGUGGAGUCAGGCUGCCGAUUAGCCAUCCAGGGAAGGCGGCCAGAGGCUAACACGUGCCUGGUCAUCAGCACAGGCAGCUGCUCAGUGUGGUGGAGGGGAGGCCUCACUCACCCGGCUCCCACGCCCCUCUCCGUGGAUCCAGAGCCAUGUGGGGAACACCCAGGGAGGUGCGGGGUGUGGCCCCUCUUGCCUGAAGGUGCUUGGGGCCUCCAUUGGCUGCCUCUGCCCCCUUGUGAGCGUAGCAGCCUCAUGCGGCCCCCAGUGGCUGUACGGGCACAAGGCUGGGGAAGUUCAGGGUCCGCCCGCAGUCCUGGUGCACAAGCCGUGCCUGUGCCUUGGCCACUGCCCCUGUGGUGCAUCUGAGAAGCACAGAGGGAGCCCACGGCCCAGAUAACUCACUCAUCUUCCCGCCACAGUGCCCACCACACUCUGCCUUCAUCCUCCCAUUUCGUGUCUACACCUUGCCAACUUCCCAAAAGGACUUGAACACAACAAAUGACAGUGUGUCCCACGAAGCUAUCAAAAGAAAAGGCCAAGGAGCAGGUACUGAGAAAGGCUCCAUGAAUGAAGGUAAAGAACAAAAAGAAUGAUUGCAUCAGAAAACCAAGUGCCAGGUGUUUCUGCAACCUGGCACAGACCUUCGCCCCGAGCAUCCCGACAGCCAACAUAAAAACAGGAACUGGGUUAUAUUACCGCGCCCUUAGUUGUCUGUAAGAGAAAGUAUAUCAGAUGGUGUAGAAAGGCAAACAUUUCCUGGCUCUGUAGGGGUGAGAAUACUGUAUGUUAAAGA